rnacentral:rRNA from 1 species
UACGUAGGGGGCAAGCGUUGUCCGGAUUUAUUGGGCGUAAAGAGCGUGUAGGCGGCCUGGAAGGUCAGCUGUGAAAACUCGAGGCUCAACCUCGAGACGUCGGUUGAAACCACCUGGCUAGAGUCCGGAAGAGGAGAGUGGAAAUCCCGGUGUAGCGGUGAAAUGCGCAGAUAUCGGGAAGAACACCCGUGGCGAAGGCGGCUCUCUGGGACGGUACUGACGCUGAGACGCGAAAGCGUGGGGAGCGAACAGG